rnacentral:tRNA from 1 species
GGGCGUGUAGCUCAGCCCGGUAGAGCACCGCAUUGAAAAUGCGGGUGUCGGCGGUUCAAAUCCGCCCGCGCCCA